CAGACAUUUUAUAUUGUGUAAUGGGACUCAGGUUGCUAAAAAUAUUUGUGACGGACCAUCAGGUCACUAUAAACUGGUGCAGGACACUCGGGCAGACCUUCCCUGAAGAUAGCUAUUUUCACUGUGCAAACCCCUUCCCUCCAGUGCCUCCCAGUUAGAGAGCUAAUACAGGUACAGCAGGCUUGACCGCAAGCUACCCAGGAACUUCAUGGAACUAUGGAUUGGACUGCAGUAGUGCUGUGAUCUUCAUCGAUGAAGCUCUUGGCCCCAGGACCUCCAAAUAGGUCGCUAACCCAACAAUACCAAAGACUUAAAGGAGCUCCAUGCAGUGGAGUGAUUAGAAGCUAUCUUUUGUUACUGGGACUUUCCACCCAGCCAUCUGUAACUGUACAGUGUAUUAGAAGAUAGUUGCAGUCCAG